rnacentral:rRNA from 1 species
UUAAAUUGAAGAGUUUGAUCAUGGCUCAGAUUGAACGCUGGCGGCAGGCCUAACACAUGCAAGUCGAACGGUAACAGGAAGAAGCUUGCUUCUUUGCUGACGAGUGGCGGACGGGUGAGUAAUGUCUGGGAAACUGCCUGAUGGAGGGGGAUAACUACUGGAAACGGUAGCUAAUACCGCAUAACGUCGCAAGACCAAUGAGGGGGACCCUCGGGCUUCUUGCCAUCGGAUGUGCCCAGAUGGGAUUAGCUUGUUGGUGGGGUAACGGCUCACCAAGGCGACGAUCCCUAGCUGGUCUGAGAGGAU